UUCUCUCCCUGGGAAAGAAAACCCUAGGCUUGGAGUUUUAGCCGCCACCCCCCUUUGGGGGAGGGUGACCUCCUUUUGCUCUCCCCCUCCCCUCUCACCCUCCCCUCUCCUCUCGCCCCUCUCUCCUCCCUUUUCUUUGUUUCACACCAUCUUCUUCCCUCCCUCCCUGACUUUUCUUCUUCACCCCUUUUCUUUUGCUGUGACCUUGGCCCUUUCUUUUCUUUUUGCAGGGAGUGUGUGGUUGGGUGUGGGUGGCUCCCUUGUUUCUGCUCCUAUUUUGGAUCUCCUGUGUCCGGAGAUUUUAGUUUUGUUUCAGGCUGGAAUAGCUCUGGAAUUCGCUUCUAUCUGUGAUUUGGUGGCAAACGAGUGACCAAGCGUGCUGUGCGAUCCUCUUCAGCCUUUUGUGCUGCUUGUCUUCAUCCCGUUUGGGGUGAUCGAUCAAGAUUCUCUUCAAGUUUUUACUUGUAAGAGCCUGGUUCUUCUGGUUGUUCCUACAGCUGUCUGCACGGUGGUGGCUCAGUUUUUGGUGCUCCUGUCUAGAUCUACUCAGAUCUAUUCAUCCCCGGGGGCUGCCCUUCGGCCUGGUCGUUGUGGGUGAUCUCUGCUCUACCUGGAGUUACUUGAGCUUGCUGUGCGGAUCUUUGGCUUUGCAAUUUUCUUGUUGUUUUUU